UGUGCGCCUCCCAUAGUCUGUUCUGUUUAGGUUAGUGUGUAGUCAAGGCUUUGUCAUUAAAAUUAUAUUGUGCCUAUUUUUUAGAUCUGCCAACCUGCUCGGUGGGUGACAGGUAACCAGGUAACCGUCUUUCCACCAAGCUGUUCCAGGCCUGGAGUGGCACGCUGGAACUUCCAGAGGCUUGUAGACCUGAAGCAGUGUGAUGUGGUCCAGAUCUGCCACGCCCAGCAGUUCAGCUGCAGUCACAGCAGUCUUCUGCUGUGGUAGUUAAUUUACCGGCUGCACCAAUGCCUACUACACUGGCCGUGAAAGGAGAAACUUUUGGGUAUUCCCAGAUGGAAACAGUUCUGCCAUGCACUCCACCACUGCCUGACAGCCUCACCCAGAAGUGCAUACACGGGGCCUAUCAGAGAUGGGUGGCUGACAAGGAAAAAUAAAACAUGCACGCACACACAUUAUCCACAAUGUAAAUAAGUUGUAAUUACUUGUUUAAUGUUUGCUCCAUUUUAUUUUAGGAUUGGAGUUUUACUCCUUCAUAUCCAUCCUCAAUAUCUACAUAAUUACUCAAACUAUCUAUCAAAUCAAAGUGUGAUUGAUAAUAUUGUAAAAGACUAUGGCUUAAUGUGUACAGUUUGAGGAAAUUCUGAGUGCUUUUUUCUGAGUUGUUAAACAUGCAUUCCUCUCACACACAGACAUUAGACUCAAUGUAAAUCAGUUGUAAUAACUUGUUUAUUUUAUGUAUGGUGAAUUUUGUUUGAUGAAAAUAUCUGCAAUAAAGUACAUUCACAGUUAAA